ACACGACUCGUCCCUUAAUUCAUUAACAUAAACACACUGUAAGCAUUCUGGUCAGCAAACCCCCAAGAAACACAUGACUCUCUUUCUCUCUCUCUCUCUCUCUCUCUAACACACCCACACACACGCACGCACACCCACAUACCCACAUACACACACACUUCAGACACUGUCACCAGAGCUCAUAAAUGUAAAAUUUACACUAUCUACAGAACUGUCACCCUGGGAAAACACAUGUGUAGGACGGUGUGUAUAGGCCUACAAGACAUCGCCCCGGAAAAUGUGUCUUCUAGUUUAAACAAAACUCUCGAUUCUUUUAAGCAGCACUUUAAACAUUUUACACCCUAAAGGGUUAGGUUUAGAAGGCAUGUAAUACGCACGUUUCUUAUAAAACACCGUCUUUAAAAUGUUUACCUCCUAAAGGGACCUAUUUAGAAGAGUGUUAGAGGACCUGUAGACUGAACAAAUACUAAGGACAUUACAAUGAACAGAGCUGAGUGCAGUGUUAUGUGUGAGGCGUCACCGCCUCAACGGGGGGAGGUGUUCACCCGGAGGUAGGAGACCCGGAGCAGCGAGAGAAUGCUGACUACAAGGCAACAGCAGACUACAAGGACAUGCGACCCCCGGAGGAUGCUUCUCCAAUGACGAGAUGGUGGGGAACACAGGUCCGGUACGAAGCUGCUGUGUACGAAGCUGCCGUCAACGGGGGGUCUGCUAUCAUAGAACUCACACCCCAGAUGGGACUGGGCUAAGAUCUAUAUGUCUGGAAUCUCUCCCGUGGGACUUCGCUCUCUAAGCAACAGACAGGCCGUAUAGGAAAAGGCAUUGCAGAUGCCUGUUAUUUCAAAGCUCUGUUUUAGUGGUCUGUUGCUACGACUGAGAAGCAGUCAGUGGCAGACAGGAUGAGAAGAUGUGAAGAUCCAUACCCUGGGUGUACGUGCUAGCCUAACCUCUCCCCAAAGGGUGGCUCUCUACAGUACGUAAAGUGCUUGAGCUGAAGACAACCAGCAUACAGAGAGAUACUGC
ensembl:lncRNA